UUAGUGUCCUGUCUGACUAUCCUGGUUUGAAAGGUGUAUUAGUGUCCUGUCUGACUAUCCUGGUUUGAAAGGUGUAUUAGUGUCCUGUCUGACUAUCCUGGUUUGAAAGGUGUAUUAGUGUCCUGUCUGACUAUCCUGGUUUGAAAGGUGUAUUAGUGUCCUGUCUGACUAUCCUGGUUUGAAAGGUGUAUUAGUGUCCUGUCUGACUAUCCUGGUUUGAAAGGUGUGUUAGUGUCCUGUCUGACUAUCCUGGUUUGAAAGGUGUAUUAGUGUCCUGUCUGACUAUCCUGGUUUGAAAGGUGUGUUAGUGUCCUGUCUGACUAUCCUGGUUUGAAAGGUGUAUUAGUGUCCUGUCUGACUAUCCUGGUUUGAAAGGUGUGUUAGUGUCCUGUCUGACUAUCCUGGUUUGAAAGGUGUAUUAGUGUCCUGUCUGACUAUCCUGGUUUGAAAGGUGUAUUAGUGUCCUGUCUGACUAUCCUGGUUUGAAAGGUGUAUUAGUGUCCUGUCUGACUAUCCUGGUUUGAAAGGUGUAUUAGUGUCCUGUCUGACUAUCCUGGUUUGAAAGGUGUAUUAGUGUCCUGUCUGACUAUCCUGGUUUGAAAGGUGUAUUAGUGUCCUGUCUGACUAUCCUGGUUUGAAAGGUGUAUUAGUGUCCUGUCUGACUAUCCUGGUUUGAAAGGUGUAUUAGUGUCCUGUCUGACUAUCCUGGUUUGAAAGGUGUAUUAGUGUCCUGUCUGACUAUCCUGGUUUGAAAGGUGUGUUAGUGUCCUGUCUGACUAUCCUGGUUUGAAAGGUGUAUUAGUGUCCUGUCUGACUAUCCUGGUUUGAAAGGUGUAUUAGUGUCCUGUCUGACUAUCCUGGUUUGAAAGGUGUGUUAGUGUCCUGUCUGACUAUCCUGGUUUGAAAGGUGUAUUAGUGUCCUGUCUGACUAUCCUGGUUUGAAAGGUGUAUUAGUGUCCUGUCUGACUAUCCUGGUUUGAAAGGUGUAUUAGUGUCCUGUCUGACUAUCCUGGUUUGAAAGGUGUAUUAGUGUCCUGUCUGACUAUCCUGGUUUGAAAGGUGUAUUAGUGUCCUGUCUGACUAUCCUGGUUUGAAAGGUGUAUUAGUGUCCUGUCUGACUAUCCUGGUUUGAAAGGUGUAUUAGUGUCCUGUCUGACUAUCCUGGUU